rnacentral:rRNA from 1 species
GAUGAACGCUGGCGGCGUGCCUAAUACAUGCGAGUCGAGCGAACAGACGAGGAGCUUGCUCCUCUGACGUUAGCGGCGGACGGGUGAGUAACACGUGGAUAACCUACCUAUAAGACUGGGAUAACUUCGGGAAACCGGAGCCAAUACCGGAUAAUAUAUUGAACCGCAUGGUUCAAUAGUGAAAGACGGUUUUGCUGUCACUUAUAGAUGGAUCCGCGCCGCAUUAGCUAGUUGGUAAGGUAACGGCUUACCAAGGCAACGAUGCGUAGCCGACCUGAGAGGGUGAUCGGCCACACUGGAACUGAGACACGGUCCAGACUCCUACGGGAGGCAGCAGUAGGGAAUCUUCCGCAAUGGGCGAAAGCUUGACGGAGCAACGCCGCGUGAGUGAUGAAGGUCUUCGGAUCGUAAAACUCUGUUAUUAGGGAAGAACAAAUGUGUAAGUAACUAUGCACGUCUUGACGGUACCUAAUCAGAAAGCCACGGCUAACUACGUG